CACGUGAGUGAUGAAAACUGGACCUUAGGUAGGUCUUAUUUGUACUGUUUUGGUGCAAAGCUUGGGACCUACCCGUGCUAGGCCUUGUCAUAGUUACACUGACACACG
ensembl:snoRNA small nucleolar RNA, C/D box 46